rfam:Lingula anatina scaffold460, whole genome shotgun sequence.
UGGAAGCCCGUCUGAAAUUUGUGCUCAGGCCUGUUUCUAUGACUAGGUGAGCAAAGUUUCAGGUGUGUUGCCGU